rnacentral:rRNA from 1 species
UACGUAGGGUGCGAGCGUUAAUCGGAAUUACUGGGCGUAAAGCAUGCGCAGGCGGUUAUGUAAGACAGAUGUGAAAUGCCCGGGCUUAACCUGGGAACUGCAUUUGUGACUGCAUGGCUAGAGUGUGUCAGAGGGGGGUAGAAUUCCACGUGUAGCAGUGAAAUGCGUAGAUAUGUGGAGGAAUACCGAUGGCGAAGGCAGCCCCCCUGGGAUAACACUGACGCUCAUGCACGAAAGCGUGGGGAGCAAACAGG